rnacentral:rRNA from 1 species
CGUAGGGUGCAAGCGUUAAUCGGAAUUACUGGGCGUAAAGCGUGCGCAGGCGGUGAUGUAAGACAGGUGUGAAAUCCCCGGGCUUAACCUGGGAACUGCAUUUGUGACUGCAUCGCUGGAGUGCGGCAGAGGGGGAUGGAAUUCCGCGUGUAGCAGUGAAAUGCGUAGAUAUGCGGAGGAACACCAAUGGCGAAGGCAGCCCCCUGGGUCGAUACUGACGCUCAUGCACGAAAGCGUGGGUAGCAAACAGGAUUAGAUACCCUGGUAGUCCACGCCCUAAACGAUGUCAACUAGGUGUUGGGAGGGUAAAACCUUUUAGUACCGGAGCUAACGCGUGAAGUUGACCGCCUGGGGAGUACGGCCGCAAGGUUA